UACGUAGGGUGCAAGCGUUGUCCGGAAUUAUUGGGCGUAAAGAGCUUGUAGGCGGUUUGUCGCGUCUGCUGUGAAAUUUCGGGGCUCAACCCCGAACUUGCAGUGGGUACGGGCAGACUAGAGUGUGGUAGGGGAGACUGGAAUUCCUGGUGUAGCGGUGAAAUGCGCAGAUAUCAGGAGGAACACCAAUGGCGAAGGCAGCACUCUGGGACGGUACUGACGCUGAGACGCGAAAGCGUGGGGAGCAAACAGG
rnacentral:rRNA from 1 species